GUUAGGUUAGUUUCUAGGGGAUUGCGGGGUCGCAGCCGCGCUCGUAGUUUGAUAUCUUUCCCGUGUUACAAAUGUCAAAUAUAUUAAAAAUAUUCUUAAUUUAAGUAUUUUCAUGAAGUUGCUGCACACUGCGUUACACUAAUACAUUGAGGGAUAUCUGUGAAAAUGUCUACUCCACCACAUUUACUGAGACUAAAGUGAGCCACAGUAAUGGACCAGCAUGCCCAACUAGCUGCCCAAGUACAGGCACAGGCUGCUGUACAAGCAGCUUUCCGGUAGAAAUUAUAGUUAAACCACCAAUGUCUAAGAUGUCUGAACAACCAGAGUUUAUAUUAGAAUACGAACUUCUGGAAAAAAGUAACAUCUAUAGAAAGCAAUUAUUGCAAUAUAUAGUCUUUUUGCAAUAACUUUAUUUCAGCACAAAAGUGGCAAGUGCUGCAGUUAAAAUGGUUUGCAAAUUUAAAAAGGAAGCUCGAAUUACUGGAUAUCGAUUGCCCUUGCGGCAGUCUUAUGUUCUGUCCUAUUUGUCAGGAAUACUAAUUCACAGUAAACAUGUGAUACACAUACUAAAUAAUUACUUUACUAAAUGGUAACUUGCACGCGUAUCAAACUAUUUAUUUUAAAUUACUGAGAUUCCCUGUGUAGUGAAAGCAUUUCUAUCAUGCGAGCGUGACGGCGAAUGCCGCGCGUGUUAAACUUUUGAGAUAUUUCCCAGUUGAAGUACCUCCUUCCAUUUAAUGUUACGUUAAAACAAUAUGCAAACGGCAAACUUAAAUUUACACGUGACUCCGGCACGACUAAACUCGUCGCCUCGAUAUAACUUAAUUUUAAAUAAUUUUAAUAUUGACAAUGUCAACAACGAUGCAAUUGAUACAUUUUCUUGAUGAGUAUUAUGCUAUAAUAUAUGUAUUUAUGUAAUAUAUGUAAUAAUGUAUGUAAUAUGUAAUAUAUGUAUGUAUAAUACAUACAUUGUCGAUAUUAAGGAUUCUGUAUCCUCACUUUGGCUGUUAUUUAAUUAUGUCAAAAACGAGAAAUAGUAUUUCAAUUUAUAUUGUCAAGUUAUGGAAAUUGAAAAAUACAUGCAUAAAAUGACAAUCUUGAUCAAUUCAGCACAUUUGCAAAAAUAUUCAGACACUUUAACCUCAGUAAUCUAUAUAUGUAUAUAUAAUAAAUUUAUUUAAAAUUUAUUUAAAAAAAUUUUUUAAUUUAGAAUUUUAAUAAUAAAUUUAUUAAAAUAAAUUUAUAUAUUAAAUUUAUAUAUUAAAAAUUAUAUAUUAAAUUUAUAUGUUAAAAAUUUAUAUAUUAAAAAUUAGUGUAGCAUGCAACUUGCGUUUUUAACCCAUCUGAUUUCCCCUGAUUUCUAUUGCGUUAAUUUUACGGCUGCUUAUUGUUUAGGUUAAAGGAAAAUGUCCGGAUAUUUUUAUAAGUGCGUUGAAUCGAUCAUAACAGUCAUUUAGUGUAUGUAUUCUUUAAUUUCUAUGUAUACUGUAAUAUAAAUUGACAUGCAAUUUCUCGUUUCUAACGUCAUCAAAUAAGGACAACCAUAGCGAGGACCCAGGAGCCUUAAGAUUAUUUAACAGAAAGUUUCUAUUUAGUACGCGUAUUAAAUGUUUAGUUUAAAGUUGAUUGUUCCAAUCCCAUAGUAAGCUACCUGACAGUUCAAAUGUGCAGGCGGCCUAACUCUCGUCUUGAAACGAAGAGAGACGAUUUUCAGCGCCUCUAUCAUGGGUCUCACCAAUCGAACUAAAGAGAUCACGUGACGUGGAAUGAGGAUAUUUAAAUACAUUUGGACGCGCACGAGAGAAUUGAUAUAUUUGGAGAAUAAAUCUUUGAUUUAUUCUUUUAGCUGCACUGCUAAAUUAGUGCAAUAAGUUAGAGUGAGAACAACAUAUUUGUCUCAUUUUAACUUAUUACACUAGUUCAGCAAUGUAGCUGAAAAGAACAGACCAAAGGUCAUAUCUUACAAUCAAGUAACAGUAAUAUUAUAUCAAUAUUAUAAUUUUCUACUUUUUUCCCGGCUUUAUAGCUAAAGACAGUGUAGCUUUGCUUUUCUUUAUUUUAAAUAAAACUAAAAGUUUUAUGUCAGCAAUAGUUUCUAUAUUUACUAGAAUAGCAGGCAUUCAUUGUUAUUAAGUUAUUUUUUACAUAUGUCUAUAAAUAAAAUAUUUUAUAUAUA